ensembl:lncRNA
UGACGAAGUGACAUUAGAAAGCCAUUCAAUCUGCUGUACUCUAAUGGGAAUUUACCUGCCGUUUCAGAGUCUUCAGGGAAAAGCUGGUGGAAGAAGUGGUCGAGACUGAUCUGCAGUUGCACCUGAGAGUCCACUUCCCAACAGUGGUGGUGAUGGCAACCAGAAGUCAUGAUGUCUAC